rnacentral:tRNA from 1 species
GCCCUCGGUGGCUCAGAUGGAUAGAGCGUCUACUAUGUAAGCAGAAGAUCCCGGGUUCGAGUCCCGGUCGGGGCA